CUCUCUCUCACCGGUGCGCGGCCACGGCGCGGCUCCUCAGAGAGCUUCAUCUUCAAACCCUGUGGCCUCCAAGCCCUGACAUUUUAAAGGAAAAAACCUCCAGCCUUAACAGAAGCGAUACAUCUGGUCCAGCCCACUGCCCACCCACUUAUCACUGUGGUUUCUUCCACUUCCUACGCAGCUUUGCAUCUCCAAUUGCCAGUCUUUCCCUUUGCAUCUUAUAAAAGAAGUUAUUUAUAUUGCGGUGUCAUCCACGACAAGCUCAGACGAAAGUCUCAGCAUAUGGCAGCCUGUUAUUGAGCAAGGAGCAUUGCGAAAGGGAGCACCAAACCAACCUUUCCUGACGCAAACAGGCACGUAGGAUGGGUUUUUAUGGUCUUUCUACAGUAAGUGCCACAUUUCUGGGAAAUGGCAGGUAAUGGUACAAACCAGUUAUCUGACAAACGAUGGUACAGCUUGAAAAAGAAUGCUUGUAAGUGGCUUUAUUGCUCCUGUGCUAGCACAAGCCUGAUAGAGAGGGCAGCACCAAUGAGCUCAGCAGCAGUAAAUACCACGAGUGUCAUAACGGUUGAUUGUAUUAAGCAAAAAUAAAAUAGAAACUGGAGAAGAAAUGGAAGCAAAUGGAAGAAAAGCAGGAGGUGUGACGUGUGUGUUUGUGGGAACAGGAAGAAGAGCAGAACUAAAAGGCAGAAGGCAGGGAAAGUGAAAAAAAAAAAGUGUAAUUCUCUACUAUGCCCCAGGAUUUACAAUGCUUUGCUGCUGUUUCCAACUGUUGUUGAGCUGAUCUCUUUCUCCUGGGGCUGCUCUCAGCCUGUGCCACUCUGGAUUUGUCAUUCCCCUUUGGAAAACUUCCUCAAAAGGAGCCUCGCCCAACUCUGCUUCUCCCCCCUCUCCCCUUCUUCCUCCCCACAGUCAUCAGGUCCUGAAGCAUGGGAAAAUAACAGAUGUUCAAGCUAAAAUAAAAAGGCCUCUGCUCCUUUCCAAGAGAGGGAGAUGUGGCAAGUUUGUGAGCAGGAACGGGAUUACACCCAGCGUGCUCCAAAUCAGCAGGAAAAAUCUCCUGAUUCAAGGGAAAGACGCUGCGGCCUAUGAAUUGCAGGAAAAGGCAGAGCUCGUGUGGUUAAAAGGCAAUAAAAAUGGAGGGUUGGGGCAGCGGAGCUGUCAGCUGGCUUCUUCCCAUGAAGAAAAGAAGUUAGUCAUCAGAACUGAAAACUUCAUGCAACUUCAGCACACAUGGAAACGAUGAAGCGAGGAGCAGCGAGGAGAGGCAGCCAGCACGCUCCCUGCACUGCCUUCAGAGCAGGUAGGACGGCCCUUUGGGAGCCUGCUUGUACCCAGCAGGACCACAAUGGGACACCGAUUGACUCCACAGAGCAGAGUUAAUCCCAGCCCAGCUCACAAUGAGGAGUGAGUGCUGCUCUGCCGUGCCGCUUCCGCUGCCCUGGGAUUUAUUCUGGCACAUUCCCACUUUGGGUAGAGGGGGAAGGCGCACGUCCCAGUGCCAUCCUAUGCCCGACAAGAGCACAUACACUCAGCCUUCCUACUGUCACAGGUCUGCGAGCAAUGCAGUUGUGUGCAUCACACCGCCAGCUAAAAGGCUGAGCAGCAGCUGUACGGGUGGUGGGCAAACCCGAGCCUCGCUCUGCAGCAGGAAGCUGGCUGCCCUCCUUCUUCCAGGCAGGUACAUUAAUGCCACCCACGCGCAGGCUUCAGCCUCUACCUGAAGGAACAUUGCUGCCCUGUUGUCUGAGGCUUACAGAAGCCGUAACCAAGUAUGUCUGGGGCGUGCUGCCAGGGCCAGGCGUCCCACGAGCAUCCCGCGCAGGGCUUCAGCACUGCCAGGGUCAGUAACUGCCUCACCUCGAAGGACACUGCGGGGAGAAUCAUCACUGCAUGAGCACAUCUGAAGGGCCGCAGCUCUCUGCUGGCAGGGAGCAGCUCUGAGCACGGCCACGUCCUGCCAGGCAGCACCCAGCUGUGCAGCCCUCCACAGGCACAUUACCACAUCUAAGUGCUUUCCCCUCUCAGCACAGCUCUUACAGUCUUAACAAAUACUUGACGCUAUGCAUUAUUGCUAGCAUAAAAUAAAAGGCGAGCUAUUCUCUUAAUGCAAAGGUACAUACAAGCACAAACACGCCCAUUUUUAUGCAGUGUGUUUUCUAUUCUGCAUGCAGAGUUUGUGGGAUUGCUGGAGGAAAUACCGUGGGGGCUCUCCCUGCUCUGAAGAGGAUGCGCACCGCCUGCAUGCAGCACACCUCCGAGCUCCCACCCCACUGCUCCUGUGAGAUCAGCACACAGCCUAACAGGGAGAGCCCCCUCAACAGACCGGCGCAGGUUGGACUCCUGAUCAGAUGAGCAAAACAGUAAUCCUGUAUUGAAAUGAAAGAAAAAGCCACGCACUUGAAGCAGCAAACUGUUCUGUACGCAUGCAGUGCGGAUGUCAUCCUUUUGGGAUAAAGGAGCAGAACAGAAGAGAGUUUCUUCCACAUAGAGGACGUUACCCUGUAUAGGAAAGAGAGACUGUCUUGCACCAUAAUCAUUUUUUCCCAUCAGUUUUGACUGCCAACAUAUCCCCAGUCAUGAGCCCGCUUACAGGAUGUGCCUUCCACCCUAUGCACCUUUUACCACAUUUUAAACUAAUACUUGAGGAACAAACUAGUUUCCCAGUACUCCAGCAGCUUUAAUUAUUAAUGUUCCAGUACUUAAACCGAUACUGUAAAAUCUACCCAGACACUGGAAAAUGAGCAUACUUCAUACAUUCAAGGUAAAAGACUCAUGAUGGAAAAAAUCUAGCUGGGCAACCAGCAGCAUUUGUCUUUGUCACACUAUUUCCAGCAGCACUGCAUUUUCCUGAAUGAUGCAGAAAGUCCUGCCCCAGUUCCAGCACCCACUUUUUCAUCCCAUCCCUCGACACGGACCAAUCCUCAUUUCUCCUCUCAGCUGAAUCACUCGGAAGGCACACGUUCAAGGGACAGAAAAAUGUCACCAGCUGCUGCUUGCUCUCAAGCCAGGACAACAUUGCCAUCCCACGGCCCGGCACCGCAGUGCAGCUCCCACGUUGGGUCGCUGCUGCCCUUCCAGCUCUGGAGCUCACUACGUAGCACGCAGGAAGAACCUCGGUUUGUAAACUGUGGCAGAAACAGAGGAAGGAAUGAAAGUAUUCAUUUAUCACUGCAGAUUUCGCUCUGUGCUGAAAAUGCCUCAUAGCAGCCACGCACUUCAAAACUAAAGCCAUCAGAAGUCAGAUGAACCAGAGCAGAACCUGCGUAUCAGCCAGCCCAUCACAACAGAAAUCUGCAAUAAAACGCAUGUUUGCAUGUGGGUCAGCCCCAAAACCGAGCUGAGGAGACCUAUCCCAUUGCAGUCAUUGGCUGCUUUAUAAAAACUCAUGGAAGUUUUGGAAGAUGUUGGCUCUGGAGCUGGGAAUACAGGCAGGCUGUGUGCCAGCACUGGAACAGCUGGGCUGGAAGCUCACACAACUUCAGCUACAGCGGUGCGGCCGGGCCAGGACGCCGCCCAGCCAGCAGCCGUGUGCUCUUCCUUUGUGGUUGCAGAGCUGUUCCAAAAGCUAAGCUUCCAUUCCAAAAAGGGGAAAAAAAAAUAAAAAAUAAACCCACAUCUUCAGCCUAUCCAAGUUCAAAUUGAUUUUUUUUCUACAGUUGGGAAUUGUAUGGUUUUAGUAUCCAGUGAUAGCAUGGGCAGAAGCACAGUGUGCCCCACUGUUGGCUAACCUGGUCGCUGAAGAGGUGUUGCUUUGCAGCCUGGACAAUGUCAAAGAUCCUUCAUAGGGUGGAUCUGAUCUGAUGCAGAGAUGUGAGCAGCUGUGCAGCCAGGCCUGAAUAAAAUGCUACUGCCAGAGAUGGGAACAGCCUCACUGAGCACAGGAGGCAUGAAUUACACUCUUAGCAUGGUUGUAAGACAAACCAAGCAUGUGAAUUAGCACCAGCAGAGUCCAAGGACCAAAGCUCAGGCCGGGCAUAGAGUAGAAGCAGAAUAGCCUAAUUCCAUGAGAUCUAGAGCUUAGGAUCAAAAUAAUACACGUUUAUAAAUCACAGUGAAAUAUUUGUUAGCAGUCAUCACACACCUGCAUUCAGUCUCUGCUGGAACGGCACUUCUUAGCAGAAAGGAGUAAAGCAAUCCUUUUCAUUCACAUGAUGUUUGGAUAACACAGCGGGAUGCCUGGCAGCAGCUCUGCUCACAGCUUUGCUGUUUGCCCUCACUUCGAGUCCACCUUCUGCUGUUCACUAUCAAAAACGUCGAGUGUAAGAAACGCCUUUUGCUGUUGCUAACAAUUAAGUAUGCAAUGCAAUACAAGCUCCUUCAAGCUUUUCCUCGGGUCAUAAUGUUUCUGAAAGGCCUCGGUAAAUUCAAAUAAAUUUUAAGUGAUUUGAUUUUUGUUCACUUCCAUGACUCAGUAUUUGUUGGUGAAUACUGAAUAGAACUACACACAGAUCAGACCUCACCUGCAACUUAAAGCAAACAACACCUUUGUUUCUCCAGCAUAUAACCCACCUGAAAGGCCAUGAAAAAUCAGCCUAUCUAUAUUUCUCAAGCAACGACCGUUUUCAGGAUGGUUUUGUGCCACCAAAGUUAGCUGCUUGUCUUAGGAUACUUCAAUACUCAGGACAGAUUGCUGUUCAGCUGUUAAGCACCACGAUAUGUAGCACUUUAAAUCCAUUGUAUCGGCUCUAAGCUUGUUCUCUACUUUCUUCCAGUUGAAGACGUUUCCAGAACAUCUGCAUCAGUAGACUAAGAGGCUUCCUGCAAAACUGCUGUUAAAGAGAAAAAAGAAUUCUCCUGAAGGCCUUCUAAUACAUCUUUCACAAUGGCAAGUUCUUGGGAAUUCAUACCAAAGCAGGAAGAACAGAUUUACGAGUGACUAAAGGACAGACCAAAUUCAAUUACAUGACUUUCAAACAAUGAAGGAGGAGUCCCAGAAGCACUGCAAGAACCUACAGUUUUAGUCACAACAAUCUCAGUCUAAUAGGAUACUGUGACAGCCUAUACAUAAGCCUGCCUAAAAGGAAUGUCAGAAGUUUCUUUUGAGGUACCUGCUGCUGAUUGAAGGAAAACAGACAUUUGUUGUCUCUGGAAAUGGAGGUCACAGACACAGCUGGAAAGAACUUCCUGAAAUAGUUACCCAGCUUCAGAGACCUGCAACCUCUCCUGCAGCUACAUAUGGACAUUUGUAUGCUUAUUGGGUAUUCAGUUCACUGAUUUACUUGUUCUAAAGCUAUCACAGACCUCAACCAUUUCCACUCACAAACCACAGUGAGAGCCCAUUUGCUAACAGUUUUAAAUGCUCACUAUUUACAGUCCCUGGCAAAACAGGUUUUUCAAUUUCCAAUAAUGCAGAGAGCAAAACCAAGCAAACAAUGGCCACCUCUUUACCUCUUUGCAGUAAUGUAACAAAGAGCAAAAAAAAAGGUUUCCUGUUUACUGAUAUAUCUCAAUCCACCCUGACCAAAUGUAUCCUCCACAAAGAUUUCUGAGAUGUGUUCACCACCAUCCAAAAAAUAGGGACGUCUCAGUUCAGUGCAUAAUGCUGCACACAAAGUGGUGUUUCUGAAGGAGAAUGCCAGUGGAAGUGUUUGUUUCAUCUUACGUUUUUGAUCUCCUGGCAAUAUCCUUUGCAAGCUGUGCACCCCGUUUGCCCUUGAACAUUUUCUCUGCCUCCUGUCGCUCCUACAGCGAUACCACACACACAAAGUUAAUUUAAGAACACGGCAUUUUGCAAAGCUGCUGUCUUUGCAAUGAAAGAUGCUUUGGCUCAUCUCCAGUGAACACUGGCACGAGGAGACCAGAUGUAAGAACAAGCACAGACACAUUGCCCAAACACUCGGACUCGAGGAAUAUCACUUUAGUGCUCUUAAAAGGAAUGACCCCACACUUCUACAGGGAAAGCAGAGGGCUCUGCUGUGAUGUCCUUCCUUCCUCUGGGUUUGUCUUACCACCAGUAACACUGGCCAGCCAGAAAAGAAUCAGACUAAACAAACAACGGCAGUAAAACAUCAUUAAAAAUCAUGAAGUAGAUUACAUCCUUAACAGUGUGAAACCAUCAAAGAGAAGCAUGAGUUUUAAAGCCUCGUAGGAUACACAGUUUCACUGCAAUUUACAACUGGGGCAAAAACCUUAUCGUUUUCACUACAGUUUCAGGAGAUAACAGGAGAAAAGGCCUCCAUCUGGUGUUCAAUCAGAAGGUGACAGACUUACUUUGAGUUUCACUUUCUGAAAAUCCAGCACUCUGACUUGGGGAACUUUGUAGAUAACAUAUAAUCUGUAAUGCUUCUUAUUUGUUACUGGAUUCCUUAAAAUGCUACAAGGCAAAUAAAGGUUAUAAAGAAUUA